GCCGGGUGUGGUGGUGCACGCCUGUAAUCCCAGCUACUUGGGAGGCUGAGGCAGGAGAAUCGCUUGAACCUGGGAGGUGGAGGUUGCAGUUAACCGAGAUUAUGCCAUUGCACUCCAGCCCAGGUGACAGUGUGAGAUUCCGUCUCAA
rnacentral:SRP_RNA from 2 species